CAUGUAUAUAUAUAUAAAUAAAUAAACCACAGAAAACAUGUGUGACUAUUAUAUUAUUUGAUGGUUCGUGGAAGUCUCUAUUGUCUAUUAGUUUUGAGUUAUAUCUUUCAACUUGUGGCGUCGCAUUGACUGAAUUAGGGGCAAAACCAUGACCAACUGUGAACAAUUUCCAGGAAAAUACAGCCAGUCGAAGGCUUUGUUUUCUUAGAAUUUUUACUGAUGUGAUGUUAACUAAUUUAAUUAAACAAGUCUUCCAAGAAACUACCUAUCAAUUCACAAAAAUUCAAUGGUGCUCGUCCUCCGAGAUUUUUAACCAUUUUUCGAGCAGGAAGGAGAAGACUUAAGAGCUAUAUAUAAAAUUUCCCUAAUCUUUUUCUAUGAUUAGAGAUCAAAACAUGGUUAAUUUCCCUAGUGCUCCGAAAACAAUCUCUCUUUUUUUGCUUUGUUUUCUCAUCACCCUCCUUUUUGAUCUUGCUUAUGCUGAUCCUGAUCCUCCAUACAAGUUGUGCUCAGAUGUUCGCGGUUAUGUCGAAAAUGGUACGUUUCAGAAAAACCUCCAGAGCCUGCUCAAUUCAUUGCCUUCAAAUGCUUCUGUUUCCAAGCUGUACAAUACUUCCGCCGGAAAUCAACCAGAUAGAGUUUAUGGCCUUUAUAUGUGCCUCAAUUAUUUUACGAAUGAGAUAUGUCACAACUGCAUCAACACCGCGCAUUUAGACAUUGUUAGGAUUUGUCCCAACUCAACAGAAUCAGUUGUGUGGGAGGAAACGUGCCAACUGCGCUACUCCGACGUGAAGUUCUAUGGUGAAUUGAAUGUGGCAGACAACAUUGUGUCCGCUAACAAGAAAAACGUUUCAGACCCAAAAAAGGUCGAGAAUACUGUAAAGGAGAAGCUGAGGGAGUUUGCGAAGCAAGCAGCAUAUGAUGCUUCAGCGAAAAUGUAUGCUACUGGAGAUGUACCAUUUGAAGAUAAAGUGAUAUAUGCUCUUGUGCAGUGCACUAGAGACUUAUCUGGAGAUGACUGUGACAAAUGCCUUCAGCACGCCAUAGAAGACGUUUUGAGAAAGUAUUAUUUCUCCGUUGGCGCGGCUUAUGAGCCGGAGUUGCUAUCUGAGGUACGAGUUGUAUGGCUUCUAUAAUGGUGCAACUGAAGCUUCUAUUUCCAGCUCUCCAAAUAACAACAAAGGGGACGGUGAGUACUUUUAAGGUGUAUGUCUAUUUUGACGCUACAAUGUUAAAAAUUAACUGCAAAUACAUAGUUGUUUCCAAUGAAGGUGUAGGAUGGAGGAUCACGAUCCUUACGGUUGUGUCAGCAUGUCUAGCCAUACUACUUUUGGGUUCCUGUGUCUAUCUUGCAAUAAGAAAAAGAAACAAAAAGGGUAAUAAUAAUGCGUUUGGAAAUGCUUUAAAGCUGAUCAUCACUGUAAUAUAUUUUCUGAAAGCAGCUUUUCUUUCGAUCUGUUCAGGGAGUAGUGAGAUUUUAAGACAACAUGUAUUGUUCCCGGACCGAAGUUUUCAAGGCAGAAACCAGAAAGCUGAGGAGUACCCCUAUAUCAGUUUGGCAUCUAUACAUGCAGCUACGGAUAAAUUUUCUGAUUCAAAUAAGCUCGGAGAAGGUGGUUUUGGGCCUGUUUACAAGGGUGUACUGAGUGACGGUAAAGAAGUGGCGAUCAAGAGGCUUUCAAGCUGUUCUGAGCAAGGCUCAGAGGAAUUCACAAAUGAAGUUCGGCUGCUAAUGAAACUUCAACAUAAAAAUCUUGUUAGGCUUUUGGGUUUUUGUGUUGAGGGAAAGGAAAAACUGCUUGUCUAUGAAUACCUGCCAAACAGCAGCCUAAAUGUCUUCCUCUUUGGUAUGUUUUCUCUUGAUCUCUCAAAAAUUUCUGUAUGUGGGAUUUAACUUCAACUGUUUCAUACUAUUGCUAAGAUUUUCUUGUCAGAAAUAUUUUAGUCUGUAAAUUCUCCUCCAAUGAUGCUUAGAUUCAGAGAAACGAGCGCAGCUUGAUUGGAGCAGACGUGUAAACAUUAUAAGUGGAAUUGCACGGGGAAUUCUUUAUUUACA